rnacentral:lncRNA from 1 species
GAGACAAUGGCACAAUGAAGGUGCAGCACUGGAAGAUGAGUGCUACAAGUCUAAAGCAUGCUGAUUUUAGGAGUUCCACUGUGGUGCAGUGGAUUAAGGAUCAAGUAUUGUUGCAACUGUGGCAUAGGUCACAGCUUUGGUUUGGAUUUGAUCGCUGGCAUGGAAAUUUCCAUAUGCUGUGGGUGCCACUGAGAAAAAAACCCCAAAAAACAUGGCUAAUUUGAAACUUGGAAAAUCUAUGGAAGAAAUGUACUUGGAAGAUCAUCAGAAAUUGUUAGAUGUUGGAGUUUCCAUCAUGGCUCAGUGGAAAUGAAUCUGACUAGGAACCUUGAGGUUGCAGGUUUGAUCCCUGGCCUCCCUUGGUGAGUUAAGGAUCCGGUGUUGCCGUGAGCUGCGGUAUAGGUUGCAGACGCGCUCGGGUCCCUCUUUGCUGUGGCUGUGGUGUAGGCCUGUGUCUGCAGCUCUGAUUGGACCCCUAGCUUGAGAACCUCCAUAUGUCAUGGGUAUGGCCCUAAAAAGACAAAAAAAAAGAAAAAAAAGAAAAAAAAGAAAGAAAGAAAUUGUUAGAUAUUGAUGAAGGGGACCAGAAAGAUGACCAAGAAGUUCAUCUUUUCUGUAAACUGACUUUAUGCAAAAAUGCAGGGGAAACUAACUCAAAAGCAAAAUAUCUUCUUGGAGAGUCUAUGCAGGUUUGUCCCAUUCAAAAGAAAGACAUGACUUGGAUUUUAUUUUUGUCAUAGGGAGGUUCAUUAUAAUUAAGGUAGAUGCUAUGGAUAUCUUUAAACCAAAAUGGAAUUAAGGAUGUCAAAAAGAAGCUAAACAACAGCUCCUAAAAGGUACAUAUGGGAAUAAGCCCAGUAUUAAGUUUUCAGUCUAUGGAAAUGACCUUUGUUGAAGAUGUUGUCAGUGAUGAUGACCUCAGAAGCAGAAUGAAGUUCACUGCAGCAUCAGGAAAGUUACAUCCAACUGUGAAGCUAAGCAGUGCUGCAAACCAGUUGAAGUGUCUAUAGUCAGGUAUUGGAGGUUUUUCCUGAAAGGUGGGAAAGAGUUUAGAUUUGAAUGAUAGCAGGUUCGUGUUCUCAGCAAUAAAGAUUUAAAGCUGAGUGUUGUUUUUAAAGAAAUCAAGUGAAAGGAUUACAUCAAUAAAUUGCAAAUAAAGAACCCGCAUUGAUGAGUCACAAAUAAUACCUAGCAGACACCCAGGCAGGUCAGAAUCCAGAUCUAAAGUGCCCAAAUGUGUGGGGGCAUUUUAAAUUCCCUAGAAUCAUGGACUUGAUAUGGGCGGGUGUUGAUUCUGUAGCCCUUCUUGCCUGAUUCAUGCACAAUCUAGCCUUCCACACCUCUGGGAACAGCUGCAGGCACUGAAAUGCUGUGUAAGGACCCAGGGAUAGAGGCAAAAAUAACAUCUACCGUCAAUGGACUAAGCCUGUUAGUCAUUCUCAAUAGAGUGUGAAUGACUUGAAUCCCUAUGUUCCUUUUUAUUAGAAGAGAGCCUAAGAAUUUUGAUGGGCUUGUAUGGAAGGUGGAUAAUUUGUGAGCUGAGAGCCUGGACAGGAGGCCAGAGUUUGAGUUACAUCUUUGCCUGUGACUCUGUCUCAUCCUGGUAACUUCUCAAUAACUAGUAGUUGAAUUGUAUCAAAAGGGAUGUGUAAGACCAUUCAAAGACAAACUUCAAUAAUUCUAUUUUUUUAGUUUACAGACCAUUCCAGAUCCUUGUCUAAAAUGUCACUUGGGAUUUUAUAAUUGGCAACAUUUGAAAAGCAAGAUGUUUAAUAAAUAUUGAACAAUAACAAUGAGAUGAUCUGUGUAUAUCUCACCAUCUGGGAAUUUUCACACUAGUGUUCCGUUUUCAUGUUCUUAUUCAUCUUCUUGUAUUUAAUUAGACUCAUUGUACUAACAUAAAUAAUUCCUUUCACUGAAGGAAGUUAUUAAAUAUCCUCCUUUAUUAUUAAUAUUCAAAGAUGAAUUACAUAAUUUCACAUUCUUGGGAUGAUUCCUCGUAUUUUUGCUUUUGAAACAUUUUGUUUUGUAUCAGUUACUUUGAGGGAUUAAUGUUACUGAUUUGAUUCUGUGUUAGUGAUAGACAUAAUCAUGGUAAGUGAUGAUCAGUUUCUUAAAAUACUAGAUAGCUUCUUUCUUUAGUCCUUGUACUGUGCACAGUGCAGUUGUUCUUGGAACUUGUGAUGAUACUCAGCUUUUUAAGUACUCCUUUGGUUUCUCAACUGGGACCAUAAGUAAUGGUUUUGAAGUCCAAUUAUUGUUUAACUACUGUUUAGCCUUAAACAACUUUUUUUUUUGAAUUCUCUUUUGUCAGUGAAAUUCAUCCAGGGUUUUAAAGAUAAGUAUUAUUAAAAUGUGCACAAGAUAGGAAAAAUCUUCAAAUAUCAGUCCUUCCAUUUUAUGACUUCUUUCUUUUUUUUAAAGUAUAGUUGAUUUACAAUGUUUCUUCAAUUUGUUUCUUCAAUUGUUUCUGUUGUACAGCAAAGUGACCCAAUCACACACAUUUAUCUGUGUUGUACAGUAGGGCCCGAUUUGCCCAUCCAUUCCAAAUAUAACAAUUUGCAUCCCAACUCCACCCCCCCACCAAUGCCCAUCCAUCCCACUCCUGCCCCCUUCCCCCCAGGAACCUCAAGUCUGCUCUCCUUGGCCAUGAUCUGUUUCUGUUUUUUUAGAUAAGGUCAUCUGUUCCGUAUUUUAGAUCCCACAAAUAAGUGAUAUCUUAUGGUAUUUGUCUUUUCCUUUCUAGCUUACUUGGUAUGAGAAUCUCUAGUUCCAUCCAUGAUGCUGCAAAUGACAUUAGUUUGUCUUUGUUAUAGCUGGAUAGUAUUCCAUUGUGUAUAUGUACCACAUAUUCUUAAUCUAUUCAUCUGUUGAUGGACAUUUAUGUUGUUUCCUUGUCUUGGCUAUUGUAAAUAGCACUGUGAUGAACAUAGGGGCGCAUGCAUCUUUUUCAAUGAAAGUUUUGUCCAGUUAUAUGCCCAGGAGUGGGAUUGCUCGGUCACAUGGUAGUUCUAUAUUUAGUUUUCUGAGGACCCUCUGUACUGUUUUCCAUAGUGGUUGUACCAAUUUACAUUCCCACCAACAGUGAAGGAGGGGAGGGUACCUUUUUUCCACACCCUCUCCAGUAUUUGUUAUUUGUUGACUUUCUGAUGAUGGCCAUUCUGACUGGUGUGAAGUGAUAACCUCAUUGUAGUUUUGAUUUGCAUUUCUCGAAUAAUUAGUGAUGUUGAGCAUUUUUUCAUGUGCCUGUUGGCCAUCCAUAUGUCUUCUUUGGAGCAGUGUCUCUUUAGGUCUUCUGCUCAUUUUUCAUUUGGGUUGCUUGGUUUUUUUUUUGUGGUUGAGGUGCAUGAGUUGUUUGUUUAUUUUGGAGUUUAGGCCCUUAUCUCUUGCAUCAUCUGCAAAGAUUUUCUCCCAUUCUGUGGGUGGUCUUUUUGUUUUUUUAAUGGUUUCCUUCGCUGUGUUCCAUUUUACUCCCGGACAUUUAAUACCUGAUUAGCUGUCAUUACGUGGCCUACCCCUUGGCAGUAAUUGUAAAGCACUGUUUUAGACUUUGGUCUUGGUGAUGGUGGUGCUGACUGAGCCCUCUAUGCGUUACAGUUUCACUACAUGUCUUUCCCUUCUGUGAAUUCUGAGCUCCUUAAUGACAGAGUCUCUAAGUUUUUAAAUUUUUUAUUUCUGAGUCUAACUCAGUACCUGGCAUAGAGUAGGUAUUCAAUGAAUGUGUGUUGAGUGAACAAGUAUACCAAGAUAGGUGAGGACCUUAAUAAGGACACUGUACUUUCAUAGAUGCUAUAUUUUCCAUCUCUCACACUCUUCUGUGAUAGAAUUCAAUACCAUCAACAUUCUCAAAUCUGAUCCAUGUGCCCACAGGACCCUAUGUGGAAAGAAUUCCUCCCAAGUUCUCAUUUUCUGUUUACCUUUAUAAAGAAAUUAAAACAAAAACAAAACCCUCCUUGGAGUUCCCAUCAUGGCUUGGCAGAAAUGAAUCUCAAUAGUAUCCAUGAGGGUGCAAGUUUGAUCCCUGGCCUCACUUAGUGCGUUAAGGAUCUGGCAUUGCCACGAGCUAUGGUGUAGGUUGCAGACACGGCUCAGAUCUGGCAUUGCUGUGGUGUAGGCCAGUGUCUAUAUCUCCGAUUGGACCCCUGGCCUGGGAACUUCCAUAUGC